GACGAACGCUGGCGGCGUGCCUAAUACAUGCAAGUCGAACGCAGUGGGGACGGGUGAGUAACACGUGGGUAACCUCCCAUCAGAGGGGAUAACACUUGGAAACAGGUGCUAAACCGAUACUGAUGGAUGGACCCGCGGUGCAUUAGCUAGUUGGUGAGGUAACGGCUCACCAAGGCCACGAUGCAUAGGCGACCUUGGAGGGUGUUCGGGCAACCCUGGACUGAGACACGGCCCCAACCCCUUCGGGAGGCAGCAGGUGGGAAUUUUCGGGAAUGGGCGAAAGUCUUACCGAGCAACGCCGCGUGACUGAAGGAGGUUUUCGGAUCGUAAAACUUUGUUGGUAGAGAAGCGGUAACUAACCAGAAAGCCACGGCUAACUACGGGCCAGCAGCCGCGGUAAUAC
rnacentral:rRNA from 1 species